rnacentral:rRNA from 1 species
GUUUACAACCAUGCUACCUUGAACAAGCCUGAUUCCGUCUGAUCUCGGAAGCUAAGCAGGGUUGGGCCUGGUUAGUAUUUGGAUGGGAGACCACCUAGGAAGACCAGGUGCAGUAGGCG